rnacentral:rRNA from 1 species
UACGUAGGUGGCAAGCGUUGUCCGGAUUUACUGGGCGUAAAGAGCGCGCAGGCGGCCGAUUAAGUCGAAUGUGAAAGCCCCCGGCUCAACUGGGGAGGGUCAUUCGAUACUGGUCGGCUCGAAGGCAGGAGAGGGAAGCGGAAUUCCCGGUGUAGUGGUGAAAUGCGUAGAUAUCGGGAGGAACACCAGGAAGCGAAGGCGGCCAACUGGCCCGAGACUGACGCUGAGGCGCGAAAGCGUGGGGAGCAAACAGGAUUGAGAUACCCGUUG